UACAGAGGUCUCAAGCGUUGUCCGGAUUCAUUGGGCGUAAAGGGUGCGUAGGUGGCGUCGUAAGUCGGGUGUGAAAUUUCGGAGCUUAACUCCGAAACUGCAUUCGAUACUGCGGUGCUUGAGGACUGGAGAGGAGACUGGAAUUUACGGUGUAGCAGUGAAAUGCGUAGAGAUCGUAAGGAAGACCAGUGGCGAAGGCGGGUCUCUGGACAGUUCCUGACACUGAGGCAACGAAGGCCCAGGGGAGCAAAACGGG
rnacentral:rRNA from 1 species